GACGAACGCUGGCGGCGUGCUUAACACAUGCAAGUCGAACGGAAAGGCCCUGCUUUUGUGGGGUGCUCGAGUGGCGAACGGGUGAGUAACACGUGAGUAACCUGCCCUUGACUUUGGGAUAACUUCAGGAAACUGGGGCUCAUACCGGAUAGGAGCUCCUGCUGCAUGGUGGGGGUUGGAAAGUUUCGGCGGUUGGGGAUCGAAUCGCGGCUUAUCAGCUUGUUGGUGGGGUAGUGGCUUACCAAGCCUUUGACGGGUAGCCGGCCUGAGAGGGUGACCGGCCACAUUGGGACUGAGAGACGGCCCAGACUCCUACGGGAGGCAGCAGUGGGGAAUAUUGCACAAUGGGCGGAAGCCUGAUGCAGCAACGCCGCGUGCGGGAUGACGGCCUUCGGGUUGUAAACCACUUUCGCCUGUGACGAAGCGUGAGUGACGGUAAUGGGUAAAGAAGCACCGGCUAACUACGUG
rnacentral:rRNA from 1 species